UUAGCGGCGGACGGGUGAGUAACACGUGGGUAAUCUGCCUUAUACAGGGGGAUAACAGUUAGAAAUGACUGCUAAUACCGCAUAAGCGCACGGGAACGCAUGUUUCUGUGUGAAAAACUCCGGUAGUAUAAGAUGAGCCCGCGUCUGAUUAGCUGGUUGGUGGGGUAACGGCCUACCAAGGCGACGAUCAGUAGCCGGCCUGAGAGGGUGAACGGCCACAUUGGGACUGAGACACGGCCCAAACUCCUACGGGAGGCAGCAG
rnacentral:rRNA from 1 species